rnacentral:rRNA from 1 species
AGUGAGGAAUCUUGGGCAAUGGGCGAAAGCCUGACCCAGCGACGCCGCGUGGAGGAAGAAGGCCUUCGGGUCGUAAACUCCUGUUUGGGGAGAAGAACAAGAGAGAAGUUAAUAGCUUCUCUCUCUGACGGUAUCCCCGGAGAAAGCUCCGGCUAAUUACGUGCCAGCAGCCGCGGUAAUACGUAAGGAGCGAGCGUUGUCCGGAUUUACUGGGCGUAAAGGGCUCGUAGGUGGUUUCUUAGGUCUCACGUGAAAUUCCCUGGCUCAACCAGGGAGGGUCGUGGGAAACCGAGAGGCUAGAGGGCAGGAGAGGAGAGUGGAAUUCCCGGUGUAGCGGUGAAAUGCGUAGAGAUCGGGAGGAACACCAGUGGUGAAGACGGCUCUCUGGACUGUCCCUGACACUGAGGAGCGAAAGCCAGGGGAGCAAACCGGAUUAGAUACCCGGGUAGUCCUGGCCGUAAACGAUGGGUACUAGGUGUGGGGGGUUCGACCCCCUCCGUGCCGCAGUUAACGCAUUAAGUACCCCGCCUGGGGAGUACGGCCGCAAUGGUUGAAACUCAAAGGAAUUGACGGGGGCCCGCACAAGCGGUGGAGCAUGUGGUUUAAUUCGAUGCAACGCGAGGAACCUUACCAGGGCUUGACAUGCUGGUGGUAGGAGCCCGAAAGGGUAACGACCUCUGGUUUACCAGAGGAGCCAGUACAGGUGCUGCAUGGUUGUCGUCAGCUCGUGUCGUGAGAUGUUGGGUUAAGUCCCACAACGAGCGCAACCCCUGUCCUUAGUUGCCACAGGUAAUGCUGAGCACUCUAAGGAGACUGCCAGGGACAACCUGGAGGAAGGUGGGGAUGACGUCAAAUCCUCAUGGCCCUUAUGUCCUGGGCGACACACGUGCUACAAUGGCCAGUACAGAGGGUUGCAAACCCGUAAGGGGGAGCCAAUCCCAGAAAACUGGCCCCAGUUGGGAUUGUCGGCUGCAACUCGCCGACAUGAACGAGGAAUCGCUAGUAAUCGCGCAUCAGCCACGGCGCGGUGAAUACGUUCCCGGGCCUUGUACACACCGCCCGUCACACCACGAAAGUCGAUUCCACCUGAAGUCAUCGGGCUAACCCCUUAAAGGGGAGGCAGGUGCCUAGGGUGGGGUUGAUGAUUGGGGUG